rnacentral:rRNA from 1 species
AUGCGAGCAUCAAAAUUGACAAAACUAAAGAUGGUAAAUUGGGGCAAGGAAAUAAAUAGGGGAGAUGUCCAAGGAGCUGAACGGAGACCAAGCUUUUGUUGUUGCAAAUUGCCCGGACAUGAGCACCGAGCUGCACCACUUGGAUGCAGGCAUGACCGUGUAAUGCUUGCCCGCACCGCCAAAAUCGUGUGCGAUGAGAUAGUGAACACUCCCAUCCCCUUCUCAGGUGAAAACGCUACUCGGUCUGAAGAACUUGCAUUAUUACCUCUUUCCGGCAACAAGAUCCAAUCGGUUCCAUUAUUUCUAGUCUAG